AGCCCUGAGUCCUCCAGCUUUGGUUAACUUUGCUGUCAGUCAGCAGCAACCUCAUCAUGUGGGUGCUGCUCAUGGGUGCCCUGGCCUGGGAACUGCUUGGCAGCAUUGUUUUGGGAUGAAUACUGCCCUGUACUGAUGAAAUGGAAUGCAGUUCAAGAUAUUAUAUGGUGAUUGAAACUGCAAAGCAGCUAGGAAUGACAGCAAAAAAACCCAAACACCAGAAGGACAACAGAAGUUUCUGGGAAAAACUAAGGAGAAAAACCAGACUGAAAGGCAAUCUGUUCUGCCAAGAUUGACUACAUUAUUAUAAUUUGGUUUUCUUAUUUUGUUUAUUUUCUUCAUAUUUAAACUAUUGCAACAAGAGCUGAAAAUAACUCAUAUUUCAGUUUGCAUUAAGCAGUACUGUAACAGCAACUUGAUUUUAAAAAA